rnacentral:rRNA from 1 species
UGGCGACCAUAGCGUUGUGGACCCACCUGAUUCCAUGCCGAACUCAGAAGUGAAACGCAAUAGCGCCGAUGGUAGUGUGGGGCUUCCCCAUGUGAGAGUAGGACAUCGCCAGGC